CUGAAGCCAUGUGAUAAAGACUCUGCUGGCUUUGCAGAUGGAGGAAGCGUCCACCAGCCAAGCAGGCAGGUGCCUCUAGAAGCUGGAGAUGGCAAGAAAAGGAAUUCUCCCCUGGAGCCUCCAGAAAGGACCAUAGCUCUGCCUUGAUUUGAAGACUAUGAAACCCCUUUUGACCUCUAGAAAGGAAGGGAAAAAUAAGGAGGUGGAGCAGAAGGCAAAAUAAUUGAGUUGAACACAGAAAAAUAAAAUUAAAGAACAAAGAGAUUCAAAAAAGGGGAAGAAUUGAUUAAGCUGGAGGGAAGGCAGCAGAGAUAAGAGGUUGAUUGGGUCUUCAUUUUCAGUUUGCAAAGAGCUUUAUGAUCUGAGCAACUUGACCCCCUAAGGGGAUUCUGAGUAGGUGUUAAUACUCCCAUUUUAGAGGUAAGGAAAUUCAGGCUUUUGGUGUUUAACUAACUUGACCAAAGAACCUUGGACUGGUACAUAGGCAAAGAAACAGGAGGCAGCCAAAGUUCAACAUGCAAACUGCUACGUGCAUCAGGCUUCGAGUGCAACUGGCUUUGAGUAGCCUGAUUGCUCUGGCAAGGACUUUCAGUGCUAUGUUGAAUAGGAGCAGUAAGUCUGAGCACCCUUGCCUUGUUCCUGAUCUUAGAGGAAAAGCUUUCAACUUUUCACCAUUGAGUAUGAUGUCACCUGUGGGCUUAUCACAUGUGGCCUUUAUUAUGCUGAGUGUAAGACGUCGCAUGUGACAGCUUUCAUCUGAUUGGGUAGGCGGCAGCAGGAUCCUAGUGAUGCACGUGGCGAUGCUACUCGCGUGGUAACUUUGUUACUGUUUUUAGUGACUUCCGCUAUCCCUCUGAGAUCGGGAGUGGAAAGGCUUUCAUUUAAUUUUGCAGACGAAGACACAGGUGGAAGCCUGCCAAGAGAUCUGCUGUGGCUAAAUGACGAGUCAAGCUGGAAGAAAACACCCACAAUCCAUAAACUCGGUGAAUUGCUGGACCAUGUUACACUGAAACUGGAGAUCAAGAAAGACUCUUACUAAGGUUGGAUAUAACCACACAUUUAAAAAACUAAUUAUAAAAGUGGUUGAUAACUGAAACAAUACAUAAGGGCAUAAAGUAAAAAGUCAAUUUUCCUCUGUUAGAUCCUGCUGUCUGUUCCUCAAAUCCACUCCCGUCUUUUUCUCCUUAAUGGCAGGGCAUCAUUUUCUUUUGGGUGCUCACCUCUGCAGGGCCUGUGUUCAAGAUAGGGGCCCCUUCCCAGCCCAAAGGGAAGACUCAGGAUUGGGCCAAGCUAAUCACAGCGAUCUCAUUUCCCUUGCAAAGGACUGGGUUAGGCAUGGGCUGGGCCUGAGAAUAAGUCUGCUGGGGGCAGCUCUUCCUUACUAACAUAAACUGAUGCAGAAGCAAAAAGACUUCCCUUAUUUGCUGGACUCUGUCACGUCAACACAGGAUACAUGGAGCCACCUGAAGCCACGGGACAUGCUGAAAAUGACCAAGUGGGAAGACGGGAAGGCCUGGGUCCUAGAUAACGUUUCUAAGUCACUGGACUGACCAAACUAGGAAUCGUCCUUCUUUUGUCCUUCUAUGUCAGGGGAAAAAAAAAAUCUUA